rnacentral:tRNA from 1 species
AGAGAGUUAGUCCAAAAAAGACCUUUGAUUUCGACUCAAAAAAUCAUGGUUAAAACCCAUGACUCUCUU